rnacentral:rRNA from 1 species
AAAAAAGGUAAGCUACUAAGAGCGAAUGGUGGAUGCCUUGACUGGUAAAGGCGAUGAAGGACGUACUAGACUGCGAUAAGCUACGGGGAGCUGUCAAGAAGCUUUGAUCCGUAGAUUUCCGAAUGGGGCAACCCAAUGUAUAGAGAUAUACAUUACCUAUAUAGGAGCGAACGAGGGGAAUUGAAACAUCUUAGUACCCUCAGGAAAAGAAAUCAAUAGAGAUUGCGUCAGUAGCGGCGAGCGAAAGCGCAAGAGGGCAAACCCAGUGCUUGCACUGGGGGUUGUAGGACUGCAAUGUGCAAGAGGUAAGUUUAGCAGAACAUUCUGGAAAGUAUAGCCAUAGAGGGUGAUAGUCCCGUAUGCGAAAAACAAACCUUAGCUAGCAGUAUCCUGAGUAGGGCGGGACACGAGGAAUCCUGUCUGAAUCCGGGUCGACCACGAUCCAACCCUAAAUACUAAUACCAGAUCGAUAGUGCACAAGUACCGUGAGGGAAAGGUGAAAAGAACUGAGGUGAUCAGAGUGAAAUAGAACCUGAAACCAUUUGCUUACAAUCAUUCAGAGCCCUAUGUAGCAAUACAGGGUGAUGGACUGCCUUUUGCAUAAUGAGCCUGCGAGUUGUGGUGUCUGGCAAGGUUAAGCAAACGCGAAGCCGUAGCGAAAGCGAGUCUGAAUAGGGCGCUUAGUCAGAUGCUGCAGACCCGAAACGAAGUGAUCUAUCCAUGAGCAAGUUGAAGCUAGUGUAAGAACUAGUGGAGGACUGAACCCAUAGGCGUUGAAAAGCCCCGGGAUGACUUGUGGAUAGGGGUGAAAGGCCAAUCAAACUUCGUGAUAGCUGGUUCUCUCCGAAAUAUAUUUAGGUAUAGCGUUGUGUCGUAAUAUAAGGGGGUAGAGCACUGAAUGGGCUAGGGCAUACACCAAUGUACCAAACCCUAUCAAACUCCGAAUACCUUAUAUGUAAUCACAGCAGUCAGGCGGCGAGUGAUAAAAUCCGUCGUCAAGAGGGAAACAACCCAGACUACCAGCUAAGGUCCCUAAGUCUUACUUAAGUGGAAAACGAUGUGAAGUUACUUAAACAACCAGGAGGUUGGCUUAGAAGCAGCCAUCCUUUAAAGAAAGCGUAAUAGCUCACUGGUCUAGUGAUUUUGCGCGGAAAAUAUAACGGGGCUAAAGUAAGUACCGAAGCUGUAGACUU